CCGAGUUUACAACUCCCAAACCCCUGUGAACAUACCUAUAUGUUUGCCUCGGCGGAUCAGCCCGCGCCCCCGUAAAACGGGACGGCCCGCCGCAGGAUCCACAAACUCUGUUUUUAUUGUAACUUCUGAGUAACAAAACAAAUAAAUCA
rnacentral:misc_RNA from 1 species